CGCUAUAAAGUGGGACACGCGGCUCUGGCGCGCGCCUGUGGCGAUUGCGUGUGAGGAAAUCUCUACCACUGCCCCUCCCCCGUGUGGGAUUUUGGCAUUUUUGUGCAACCUAGAACACAUGAGGGCUGGAGGAGGAUGGGGUGUAGGGGCAGAUACACGAUACGGAGUUACCAAGGCGGAUGUGAGUGCACGUGGAGGACUGGAUUGCUUCGGAGCAGCAGGUGUAUCUUGAAGCCAAGAAGUCAUCCAUCAUCUUCUUACUGUGGUGGCUAAGUCGGAAGAAUCCUGAGUUCAUGUCCAGCCUGGGCUACAUAGAAAAAUAAACAAGAGGCGGUUCCUUCAAACAACCAGGCUUCUCUCUGGGUGGUUUCUGCAGACAGUCUACUUCCCUUCAGCCUCUGCAACAGCAUUGCUUCUAGCUGUAUUGCUAUCUUUACCUUGAGACUGUGAGGGCCAUGGCGGAGAGAGUGCUGGUGCCCACCCAGAUAGGCCGGGGGGACCGCUACUACACAUACACGGAGCUGUUGGCUAUCUCAAGGCGUUUCAAGCAGAAUCCCAAUGAGCUGAUGGUCACCUGGAUCCUGCGGGUGUAUGACCAGGGAGGCCCUGCCCUGUCCCUGAAUUCCGGGGAGCUGGGGCUACUGGGUGACCUCACCCAUGAUGCCAUCUUUAACUACCGCUGCAAAGCCCUACGGGGGGCUGGCUGCCAGACUCUACUGAGCUGGCUACUGCAGGCCUGGCGUCAGCGCUGGGAAUCCUC
rnacentral:lncRNA from 1 species